GAUGAACGCUGGCGGCGUGCCUAAUACAUGCAAGUCGAGCGAACGGACGAGAAGCUUGCUCCUCUGAUGUUAGCGGCGGACGGGUGAGUAACACGUGGAUAACCUACCUAUAAGACUGGGAUAACUUCGGGAAACCGGAGCUAAUACCGGAUAAUAUUUUGAACCUCAUGGUUCAAAAGUGAAAGACGGUCUUGCUGUCACUUAUAGAUGGAUCCGCGCUGCAUUAGCUAGUUGGUAAGGUAACGGCUUACCAAGGCGACGAUGCAUAGCCCACCUGAGAGGGUGGUCGACCACAUGGGAUGUGAGAAAGAGUACAGACUCCUACGGUGGGCCGCAGUAGGAAAUCUUCCGCGAAGGGCGAGAGCCUGACGGUGCGACACCGCGUGAGUGAUGAAGGUGUUCUGAUCGGAGAACUCUGUUAUUAGGGAGGAACAUAUGUGUAAGUAACUGUGCAGAUCUUGACGGUACCUAGUCAGAAAGCCACGGCUAACUACGUG
rnacentral:rRNA from 1 species